GACAGAGGUGCCAAGCGUUAGGCGGAAUCACUGGGCUUAAAGCGUGUGUAGGCGGGUGCCUAAAUACCUUGUGAAAUCCCACGGCUCAACCGUGGAACUGCUGGGUAUACUGGGUGCCUUGGGUCAUCUAGGGGCUGCCGGAACAAAUGGUGGAGCGGUGAAAUGCGUAGAUAUCGGGAGGAACACCUGUGGCGAAAGCGGCUCACUGGACCACAACUGACGCUGAGGCGCGAAAGCUAGGGGAGCAAACAGG
rnacentral:rRNA from 1 species